CUUCCUGAGGAGCCCAAGGCAGGAGGAGAAGAACACCAGGUGUGGGUGAGGCCACUGAACACAUUUCCCCUGGCAACAGCACCCAAGCCAAGCUGUUUUUUUGUUUCAUCUUCGCUGAUGUCUAAUCGUCAGGUCUCUGAAGAAGAUUUGGAAAGUCUCAGGACGCAGAAGGGGUGAAGUAAACACCCAAAGUUCCAGUGAGAGAGAAAAGUGGGAGAAAGCAGAGCAGCAAAAUGCAGAAGAAAGAGGAAGAGGACAAGCAUUCCUGAAACUUUGCUAUCGAAGCUGCUUUCUUCUCCACUCUGAAGAUAAAGAAACACCCUAGAGAUGGCCUCAGAAAUCUUCACACGGGGCCCAGUGUGUCUCAUUGAGAACACUGAAGGGCAGCUGGUGGCCAAUCAGGACGCUCUGAACAUCCUGUCCGCUAUUACACAGCCUGUCGUGGUGGUGGCUAUUGCGGGCUCCUCCCGCACAGGCAAAUCCCACCUGAUGAACCGGCUGGCGGGG